rnacentral:snoRNA from 1 species
GGGUAAAUACGAGGGUUAAAACUUGGUAACCUGUUAUGUCGAGAGAAAAGAUAUUUCUGAUGUGCUAAACAAACCUUUGGAGGUUAAUUAGCAGCAUGACUAAUUAGCCGUUGCUGUCAGUCACCUUCAGACAAAU